UACGAAGGGGGCUAGCGUUGCUCGGAAUCACUGGGCGUAAAGGGUGCGUAGGCGGGUCUUUAAGUCGGGGUGAAAUCCUGGAGCUCAACUCCAGACUGCCUUCGAUACUGGAAGACUUGAGUCCGGGAGAGGUGAGUGGAACUGCGAGUGUAGAGGUGAAAUUCGUAGAUAUUCGCAAGAACACCAGUGGCGAAGGCGGCUCACUGGCCCGGUAC
rnacentral:rRNA from 1 species